UACGGGGGGUGCAAGCGUUGUCCGGAAUCAUUGGGCGUAAAGAGUUCGUAGGCGGCACGUAAAGUCUGGUGUUAAAGGCAGAGGCUCAACUUCUGUACGGCACUGGAUACUUGCGAGCUAGAAUGCGGUAGAGGUAAAGGGAAUUCCUGGUGUAGCGGUGAAAUGCGUAGAGAUUAGGAAGAACACCAGUGGCGAAGGCGACUUACUGGACUGUAACUGACGCUGAGGCAUGAGAGCAUGGGGAGCAAACAGG
rnacentral:rRNA from 1 species